CAGUAGCCGCGGGAACACGUAGGGUGCGAGCGUUGAUCGGAAUUACUGGGCGUAAAGCGUGCGCAGGCGGUUGUGUAAGACAGGUGUGAAAUCCCCGGGCUUAACCUGGGAACUGCGCUUGUGACUGCACAGCUAGAGUAUGGCAGAGGGGGGUGGAAUUCCACGUGUAGCAGUGAAAUGCGUAGAGAUGUGGAGGAACACCGAUGGCGAAGGCAGCCCCCUGGGCCAAUACUGACGCUCAUGCACGAAAGCGUGGGGAGCGAACAGGAUUAGAUACCCCUGUAGUCCCUGUCUCUUAUAC
rnacentral:rRNA from 1 species